ensembl:snoRNA
AACUAGAAUGAUGAAAAAAGUAUCCUUAGGCGUGGUUGUGGCCGUAUUGGUCACCUGUGUGCCACUUGCCAGUGGAAGGACUUGUCAUAGUUACACUGACAGUUA